rnacentral:rRNA from 1 species
GAUCCUGGCUCAGGAUGAACGCUGGCGGCGUGCUUAACACAUGCAAGUCGAACGAAGCACUUGAGAUUGAUUCUUCGGAAGAUUUCUCUUGUGACUUAGUGGCGGACGGGUGAGUAACGCGUGGGUAACCUGCCUCACACAGGGGGAUAACAGUUGGAAACGACCGCUAAUACCGCAUAACCCGCUAGGGCCGCAUGGCCCGGACGGAAAAGAUUUAUCGGUGUGAGAUGGACCCGCGUUGGAUUAG